GUGCUCACUUCGGCAGCAUGUAUACUAAAAUUAUAAUGAUACAGAGAAGAUUAGCAUGGCCACUGCGCAAGGAUGACACGCAAACCCCAAUACUAGCACACACAUGAA